rnacentral:lncRNA from 1 species
GCACACUGAACUCCGUGGAGCACUAGUUGCACUUCUUCCCAACUCAGUUCGUUGUUUACAUUAAUAUAUAAUUAGUUAUUUUAAGUGAUCAUCCGAUUCCCUGCUUAAAAUGACUUUUUCCGGCAGUCUCGUGACCGCUGGCAAAAAUAAAAGUUUCUUCACAAGCAAUGAAACGAGCUUGAGCUUCACUAUAAAUGAAACGAUCGCUCUGUGAGUAACUAAUAACAAUGCUUCACAGAUCGAGUUAUGUAGUAAGAUACUAAAGUUUACAGCAGUAAUACUUAAUACUGCCGUUUAAAUCCACUCAUUGAGUUUACUCUUCAGGAUGAAACUAAAACAAGACAGGAAUGAGCCAAAAUGGAUUCUCAUGCUGAUUGCUGCAUUCCACAUGAUCGUCACAUCUCAACAUGUUGAAGAAAUGACUAUCCUGGACUCCACCGCCAACCGUUUAGCAUCUCUGCGGCUUCAUGGAAACUUCAGAUCCAGAGCUUCUGCCAUGUUUCUGUGCUCUACACUGAUCUGCAGGUGUCUGUAAGAGUUCCAGCGUUAAACAGCAGCUGUCAUGAAUUC